rnacentral:rRNA from 1 species
GACGAACGCUGGCGGCGUGCUUAACACAUGCAAGUCGAACGGAAAGGCCCUGCUUUUGUGGGGUGCUCGAGUGGCGAACGGGUGAGUAACACGUGAGUAACCUGCCCUUGACUUUGGGAUAACUUCAGGAAACUGGGGCUAAUACCGGAUCGGAGCUCCUGCUGCAUGGUGGGGGUUGGAAAGUUUCGGCGGUUGGGGAUGGACUCGCGGCUUAUCAGCUUGUUGGUGGGGUAGUGGCUUACCAAGGCUUUGACGGGUAGCCGGCCUGAGAGGGUGGCCGGCCACAUUGGGACUGAGGUACGGCCCAGACUGCUACGGGAGGCAGCAGUGGGGAAUAUUGCACAAUGGGCGGAAGCCUGAGGCAGCAACGCCGCGUGCGGGAUGACGGCCUUCGGGUUGUAAACCGCUUUCGCCUGUGACGAAGCGUGAGUGACGGUAAUGGGUAAAGAAGCACCGGCUAACUACGUG